GGCGGUUUGUGACUUCUAAGCUUUGGCUGUUAAGCGCUGAGCCGUUAAGAGGGUGUGUAGUGCUAGUUUCCACUUAUGACUCGGUAGAGCCUUAGGUAAGUCUGGUAGGAGUAAGAUGUGUGGUUGGAACGGGAGAGAUACAUUUGCAAUUUCUAAGAGGAAUUUAUGGAUCGAAGUCCACAGUGGUAAUAUGUGUUCGCUCUCCC